CAUCUCUAUGAGGAUUUCGUGUUAAUUAAAAGUAGUGGUCUGAUCCAUUGAUGAUAAUGUCUAUUCUGAGGGAUG